UCCAAAAUAUUAUAUACAUUAAACCUCCCUCUGUGAGGAAUAUACCUAGCAUAUUCGAGUCAAUACAGAUCAGAUCGAAACCCUAGUUGGUGUUCAUCUCCCAAAUCCCCCUGAUCUGAUAGUAGGGUGUGACAUGGCCUCCCUCGCGCGUCGUCCGGCGACCGGCGCCGCCGAACCCGCCAUGACCUCCACCAUGGAGUUCCUGUAGCUCGUCCCCUACCUCCUCGUCCUGUGCUCGAGGGAGACGCCCCUCCAGCGCAUCGAGGACAAGGCCCACCACCAGCCGAUCGUUGUUGCACUCGCCGGCGACCUCACCGUCCCCUCUGCACUGCCCUCCACCUCAACUGAUGCUUCUCAUCAACAAGGAUAGAUUUAGCUGGUCAUAGCUUGUGGAUGUUCUCUGUUAUUUUUUGCACACAAGGUGUUUGUGUGCUUGUCCAAGCCAAUGUUCAUGAGCUUUAUCUUUGCUAUAAAUGACAUGGCUGAGAAGGUCCCUUCAAUGAAAGGAGGAGGAGUAUAGUCUUGGCCAUGGCUGGGGAGGAAGGAGAACAUGUAAAUUGAGGAUUUUUCAGAGAGAUUAGGACUGCUUGAUUUAUCAGAGAGAAAACCUUGAUCCGGAGCUUCGUCGAUGCAGGCCUUCAUGCUGGGCCGAGGAGGAGAAGAAGGGGGGGCACGUCGAAGGUGCCGGUGGAGCGCGUCGUCGAGAUCGUUGAUGACAGCGACAUGGGCGAGGCCGUUGAGGAGGUCAUGGUUGAUGCUUUACUGCCUGAACAUGUUGACCGGGAACAAGAGGGUAAGGUGGAUGCGAGGGCGGAGGCGCAUGCCAUGGUGCAGGAUGUUGUGGAAGCCCGAUUAUUUGAGGAAGUGAUAGCCACUGGGAGCAUGGAUCGACAGACUAGACAGACCAAGUCCAUUGAUCGGUUGAUUCAACAACGAAGGAAGAGGCAGAAGGUUAUAAAAACGAGCUUGGGGAUUUACUGACCUGAAUCUUAAACAGGGCCGCCCUGCUGAUGGACUCAAGCUCCAGGUUUGCUCCUAGCACGUCUUAAUUACAUUGGCUCUUGACAAAAUGUCUAGCAUGAUGGAUAAUGAGUUCAUUCUGUGAUGCCACAUAGAUAUGCAAAGUCAUAGUCCUGCAUGUAUGCACAUCUACUGAUACAUACAAGCCGAUCGACGGGCACACACAUUAUCCGUCACCGAGCAAAUGUUUGGGAGUUGGAAAUUAUUUGGAUACACAUGAUCUCAGAAAAGAAAGAUUCACACAUACUACAACCAAAGGACCUCCUUCACUCUCUGUGCAACUACAGAAAUUAUCCUUAUGAGCAGCACCCUAGAUUUAGUUGUGGGUUCUAACAUAUUAGAGAUGUGGUUAGAAUACCUACUGCUCUGAACAAUUAAGUGGUUUGUAUAAACCACCGAUUCCCUCGUGCAGUGUACAAUGUGAUAUGGAUCAUCAUAGGAUCAAACUUAAUACAGGAAGCACACACUUAAUUGUUUCUGAACUAUACUACUUCUUAUGUUCAUUCUUCUGUCCUUUUAAAUCUCUAAUUUAGUUGCAAGUAUUUUAUUUGUUAUCAUUUGGCUUCUUAAGAACAAAUCUAGCAAGCAACGACUCGACUGAUGAAAGAGAUGUUGACCAUCUUUGCUGCAGUGAGGUACCUUCUUGAUCAUGUUACUAAUCUGUAUCUACAUUAUUCAGAUGUGAAACUCAUCCUUCUUAAAACAUCUGCAACGCAUAUGUGCACUCUGAAAUGGUAAAAUAUUUGCAUUCUAUAGCACUUCAAGUUUGUGUAGCAUCCCCAUAUUUCCCGCGGCCCAGUUCCUUGAACUGGCUAACCCUUAUUGAUGUCAUAUGUCCUGAACUGACUCUCAUGACCAAGUUCCUCAACCCGUCUGCCCCUCAAAGGCAUGUUGUGCAGUGGCUCAAUUCAUCGCAUUGUGAUUGAACACAUUAGGAUUAGGUGAACACUGAAAACAUCGGUGAGGGUGGUCAGGAAGAAAAGCUAAAACCACCAGACGAAGGGGCGCUGGUCUCUGGUUCUUGGCGAAGGCCACCGCAGCUCAUCUCCAAGACCUCUGCUGUCGUGUGUCCCCCAAGUUCUUCACCGAAUCUCCUCGCCCGCUGGCUGCUGCUCUUCUUCUCCCUCGAACACAUCUCUGCUUCUGAUCCUUUGCUGCCGCCCCUAACCUGCUGCUUCUGCUCUCUGAUGCUGCACUCUGUACCUCUCCUUCUCCAACGAACUGUUGUUCCUAAUCUUCUCUGAACCCAAACUGUUGCUGCUCCGCUUCCUCUCUGAACCUCAAUCUGUUGCUGCUUCUCUGAUUCAGAGUAAACCAAUAAACAGGAAUUGUAUGGACUUCUAGGUCGUUUUUCCUUUGGUAACAGUUAUUGUUAGUUCUAAACAAUUUUUCAGUGCCACGAUUAGGCUUCCAAGGGUUCAGAGAAUGAUGAAGAAGCCUUUUAUAUCACACACUAUAUAACAUCAUGGAAUCACAACCUUAUAACAAAUAAUUUAAGAGGCUAUGUUCUGGUUUGCUGUAUCUCCACCAGUUUGGGUUGCUCUGAUGGCUAACCUAAACUGAAUAGGGAAUCAGGAGUACUUUAGUUGGUAUUGAAAGUGGAAUGUUUACUUUCAAGCUGAAAAUCUUGCAAGUUUGGUCCUGGGAUAUUUAAUGCUCCCUUUUCUGAUUAUCUUCCAAUCAUACUAUACAUAUUUAGUUUUUUUACUUUCUCUUGACAAGUGAACUGAAUUAUUCAUGGAGAAUCUGGUUAUGGUAAAUUUUAUUAUGGAGAUUCAUCCGAUGUAAUAGAAUAGCUUUAUUUGCUAAAAUCAAUACAUAACUAUAGUGUAGUAUGGUUACAACAUGUAGAGUUUUGCAAGUGAGAGUUACAGGAAGUCACUAUUGCAAGAUGGCAUUCAGUUAACACACGUACAAUCAACUGAUCACUGUAUCUUUUUUUUUGCUAAUUUAAUUUGAAAAAGCUAUUGCAAACAAUUUUUUCUUCUGAAAUUAUAUACUCUGUUUAUUUCUAAUGUGAUUUUGUUACUGUUUGUAUGGUAUUUCUCUGUCUAAAUUUUUUGUUACAUAAAUCAAUCUGCAUAUAUGUGUGCAGGCUGUGAAUCGACAAACAGCCCAGAAAAUAUGGCAUGCUACAUAUCCUGUGACAGUACAUUAUCAGAAAUACUUAUAUUUUUAUAAACGCAUCUCUCAUCCAUCAUGACAUAGAUGUCAUGCGUUGCAAGUGUUCUUUUUCGUUGUCUCGCUAUGCGUUGAGUACAUGAUGGAUGAUCUAAUCGUUCAGUGUGUCAUGUGUACUCAGUCACUUGUGUCAUCUUCAGAUUUUAGAAGUCAAAAUUCUAGCUUUAGCUCUAUAUUUAAGAAUUUUUCUACGGCAAAUGCAAGAAAAAUAAAGCGUCCUUCUGUUCUCAUUCUGAGGAAGUUCUGAAAAAUUGAGGCAUUUGUAUGAAUUUCUAUUCUUCAUUAUAAAUUAUCCUUUUAAGUUUAGAAAAUAAAACAUGAUAUACUCUGUAUGUCUCUGUUCUACACUACCACUACCAUUUUAUUGCUGCAAAACGCCAAUGAAAAAGUCAUUACUAUUUUCCACGUUUUUAUACAAUCAAGCUGAAAGAGCAAUAAAAUGAUCUGUUUUCACAUCUCCUCAGAUCUUACCGAAAGGCAAUGUGCUUAUAAUGUACAUCUAGAUAACAAUAAUGUGUUUGGGAAUGAUUCAUUUGUUGACGGUCAGCAUGUGGGGUGUGAGGGACGAUACUUAUAUCACUUAGUGGCCAAGGGAAUGACAUCACAAAAGUUUAUCUAACAUCCUAGGAGAAGAUGGACACAUGUUCCUAUAUUGCUUCUCUACAAUUGCUUUCACCAUUUGAUCAUCCAUGUAAUUUAUAGCAUCCAUGCAUAGCUUAUCCUUAGGCUGUUUGUAUCCACUUAUUCCUUUUGUUGACAUGGCUAGGAGGCUAAUAUGAAUGUCACAUAGAUUGUAAUUUAACCUCCUUACAAAUAAUUAACGUUCAAACAUUCCAGUGGAGGAAUCUCAAGACUUAUAGGAAUGGUACCCCGACAAUUGUGAGCGGCACAAAGGAAGGGUCGCCAUCACCAAGGAAGUACGCUGACAAUUGUGGACUCCAAAGAGGAACAAGCUCUAUAUUUAGUGCAUUGAGUUGCUAUUUUAAAUUCUGAGAGGUGUUGAAUUUUGUCGAUUUCUAAGAUAUUGACUCGGAAGAAUUAUUAUUUUGCUUGAUGUAAACUCAGAUUAAUUUGUCAUGCCAUUUGAACCGAACAACCUUUUUGUGACAUCACUUCAUGAUUUUUGUGGGAUAUUUUUUUACAGGUAGGUUUUACUAGCUGGAGCAACGAGGGUGCCAUCGGCAGCUCCGAGUUGCAGCGGGAGCCCCGGGAGACACCGGUCCGCCGCGCCGUCAGCAGCAAGAGCCGCCCGGCCGGGCAGCCAAGCUACAGCGGGAGCCGUCGCGCCGGGCCGCCGAGCUGUGGCGUGUACCGCCACCCCACCACCAGCAGCGGGAGCCGCCACUGAUGGGGACCUAAGGUCCGGUCGUCUUGCUUCCUCGGCUCCUCCAGUAGCUUCUCUCUUCAGAACAAACGUGUUGUUUCAGCACACAUUGUAUAUACUGCUUUCCUAUUUUAUUUUUAAUUAUUUUUUUUGGGAUACUGCUUUCUUAUUUUGCUACUACCUAAUAGAAGAAGUCAUCAUCUU